GACUGGGUAGCACAGUGGUUAGUGCAGUCUGCCGGAAACAGAAACACGCGGGUUCAAUUCCCGUCCGAUGUCA
rfam:Nippostrongylus brasiliensis genome assembly, scaffold: NBR_scaffold0006334